GAUCCUGGCUCAGGAUGAACGCUGGCGGCGUGCUUAACACAUGCAAGUCGAACGAAGCGCUUAAAUUUGAUUCUUCGGAUGAAGAUUUUUGUGACUGAGUGGCGGACGGGUGAGUAACGCGUGGGUAACCUGCCUCAUACAGGGGGAUAACAGUUAGAAAUGACUGCUAAUACCGCAUAAGCGCACGGUGUCGCAUGACACAGUGUGAAAAACUACCGGUGGUAUGAGAUGGACCCGCG
rnacentral:rRNA from 1 species